ACUUACGGCCAUACCAGCCUGAAUACUCCUGAUCUCGUCUGCUCUCUGAAGCUAAGCAGGGUUGGGCAUGGUUAGUACUCGGAUGGGAGACUGCCUGGGAAUACCAGGUGCUGUAAGUG
ensembl:rRNA 5S_rRNA 5S ribosomal RNA